UAUAAACCCUCCUAGAGUACCCGCAUAGCUGAGGGCAUCGCUCGCGCUCGCCACUUUUGACCACCCGAUCGAGCUGGUACAGUAAUAUUUUGGCUGCUGGCGGCUGGUCAACCGCUCGCUUGUUUUUACUUUUGCGUCUGCUUCACGAGAGAAUGACAUGUGGGGCUCGUUUGGCGUGGGGCCGCGAGAUACACGUGAGUUUUCUUCAGCUUUUGGUACGCGAAGUCUGCGUCGCUUGAUCGUCAAUCGCGAUCUGGGUAAAAGGAACCCUAGGCCCACGAGCCAAUCCCGCACCCGCCUCCCUCGCCAAUCCCGUAGCCGCCUCCCUCGCUUCCUCCGCAGUCCCGCAGCCGCCUCCCCUGCUUCCUCCGCACCUCGCCCCGUGAGCCCCGCUCCCCUCCUUCCCUGCUCUCCACUAUGCCGCCCCCUCCUCUCCUUCACUUUCGGCGCCGCACAUGGGCGAUGGAUCCAUGCCUGAGAAGAGCGGCGGGGACUGCACUCCGGUCGCGGUGGGGUGCAGCCGCGGGAAAGAUGAACUAGGUCCGCCGCCCGUCUUCGUCUCCUCGCCCCGUCCUUGUUGCCUCCAUGGCCAAGCGCAUGUAAUUUUUUUCCUGGCCCUCCAUGGUACUCGUUGCCGGCGGGAUCUCGAGGAACAGGUGACCUCCAUGGCGCUCGUUGCUGCUCUGAAUAGGCAGGGUGGACGCAACGCACACGAUCUCUAGGAAGGCCACGGGAUGACUGUGUGAUGCAGUGAGGACAACAACAAAUCUAUCCUCGUUGAGCUCCCACCCCGACGGCUGCCUGCAGAGGAGGAGAGUUCGAGGACAUCUUUCGGUUCAUGGGGGAGACUCGAACACGGAUAGGGUUUGGGCGGAGGUUGAUUCCCCUCCGACCGAGCGUACCGAGUUGCUUUGCUGUACAAAGAUCCCUUUUUGAUGGUGCCAUGGUGCUCCUCUCUAG